rnacentral:rRNA from 1 species
UACGUAGGGUGCAAGCGUUAAUCGGAAUUACUGGGCGUAAAGCGUGCGCAGGCGGUUGUGCAAGACAGAUGUGAAAUCCCCGGGCUCAACCUGGGAACUGCAUUUGUGACUGCACAGCUUGAGUGCGGAAGGGGCAACUGGAAUUCUCGGUGUAGCGGUGAAAUGCGUAGAUAUCGAGAGGAACACCUGCGGCGAAGGCGGGUUGCUGGGCCGACACUGACGCUGAUGCGCGAAAGCCAGGGGAGCGAACGGG